AAGUAGCCGAAAGGAUCUUCCAUUCACUUGGAGAGUAGGCCAAAGUAGGGGUUUUCCAUUGCAGAUGCUACCUCAACUCCAGCAGCAUUGAGAAGUGCCAAGUUGAUAUUAUCCCUCGGCAUUACCAGGUAGCCGCUGAUCGCGAGCUUCAUGAAUCCGCACAGCUCCAGGAAUUCUACGCCUCCUUGCAAAUUGCCCACUCUUUCCUGUUUAAGAGGAGAAUGGUGGAUUCAGGAUAAGAGAAAUGAAUGAAAAAGUUUUUAUGAAAUAAUUAAGGAAUUCUAUGCCUCCUUGCACAUCGCUUUUCAUAGUUACCUUGAAAACAGGAUUGUUUAGUCGAAUCCUCCUGAACUUCUCCUCUUCUGGGUUCUUCACUAUGUUGGCAAUUAUCUUCAGCAGUAUUUGGAAUGCUCUUGUGACUUUAGUAGUGUCAUCCUACAAAUAAAGUUGAUAUGUAUCUCAAUGCUUCGGUGUCAAAAUGAUCGCAGGCAUAAUUCGUAUCUGCAAUCAGAAUACUGUUUUACCUUGUAAUUCUUUUUCAGAUUUCGUAGGCAGUCUCUCAGUUGUUCUGGUGACACAGCAGGUUCAACAGGUUUUAUCUGAGGAGCUAAAAAGGUGAGAAAUGUUGUUUCAAGGUCGCAUGAAAAAUAGAGGUGCUCUGGAAAUUUUAGACCUUCGUUGGAGUUAAGGUUGGGACUGAAGCUACUGGGUUUUCCAUUGGCAAACCAAGCCUUCGCCUUCUUUCUGCCUGCAUAGGAGAUAAGGAUUUAAGGCUCUUUGGUACUUCAACAAGUAACAUAGCAUGUCA
rnacentral:sRNA from 1 species